UAGCCCUGGCCGGCUGGAAACUCACCAAG
rnacentral:piRNA from 1 species